GUACAUUAGUGCUUGCGCACGACAAUAAAUUUCAUUACAUUCGAGUUUGUGUAAAAUCCUCUGCCGGCCGAAGCUAGCAGAGGCCAAAGGUUCACAGGGUAUUGGAUGAAAGUCACCGACGUGCACUUGCCAAAGCCGAAGCCGGCCAGCACUGAAGGCAACCAUUCGCAAUCAUUAAUGAUCCUUCCGCAGGUUCACCUACGGAAA
rnacentral:misc_RNA from 1 species